ensembl:lncRNA
GGAGAGGAAGGCAUUGUGGUGGACUUCCCUGGAUCCACUUGGCCGGUACCGACCCACUUUCCUCUUCUCUAUUUAUGGGUCCCUGUGGAAGAGGGCCCUCAGUCUGCCUGGCCGUCGCCCUACCCUCACCCAGGGACCUCCUGGUGCACCAGGGAGACACCAGACCUCUCAGAAGAUGUAGUCUUUUUCUCACUUUAUCUUUACGUCACUCACACACAGACACAGACACACGAAAACACACACAGCUGCAAACAGAAGGUGUCACUCAGAAGGGAGAGUUCACCCACUGUUGAUCGACGUUUCAACUGAACAGAAGAAAGCCGCGUGGAGGAUUCUGUGCAGUGAACGACAUAGUAAUAAGAAAGAAUUUGAACGACGGGAGCAGCAUUUCCACGUUGUGGAGCGUGCUCUGAAGGAUCCCUCUGCUGAAGCCUCUGACAACAAUUGAAUAGAAGGAAGCGCCGCGCGCUGACUACUUUCCUCCCCAGAAACACUACCACUUCCCUUGCAUGCCUCUACUCUGCUCGCCUGAACCUGGCUGCCACACCACCGCGCCCCUCUCCAUGAACAUGGA